CCUACGGGAGGCAGCAGUGAGGAAUAUUGGUCAAUGGUCGGGAGCCUGAACCAGCCAAGCCGCGUGAGGGAGGAAGGUACUGGGUAUCGUAAACCUCUUUUGCCAGGGAACAAAGACUGGUACGCGUCCACGGAUGAGCGGACCUGAAGAAAAAGCAUCGGCAAAUUCCGUGCCAGCAGCCGCGGUAAUACGGAGGAUCCGAGCGUUACCCGGUUUUAUGGGGUUAAAGGGGCGAGAGGGGGGUCUGUAAAGUAAGCGUGAAAGACCGGGGGUCCAACCCGGGCCCGCCGUUGAAACUGGGAGUCUCGAGUGUGAGAGAGGUAUGCGGAAUGCGCGGUGUAGCGGUGAAAUGCAUAGAUA
rnacentral:rRNA from 1 species